rnacentral:rRNA from 1 species
UACGUAGGGGGCAAGCGUUAUCCGGAUUUACUGGGUGUAAAGGGUGCGUAGACGGUCGUGCAAGUCUUAAGUGUAAGGCGGGGGCUCAACUCCCGGACUGCUUUGGAAACUGUAUGACUAGAGUGCAGGAGGGUUAAGCGGAGUUCCUGGUGUAGCGGUGAAAUGCUUAGAUAUCAGGAGGAACACCGGCGGCGAAGGCGGCUUACUGGACUGUAACUGACGUUGAGGCACGAAAGCGUGGGGAGCAAAC